GAUGAACGCUAGCGGGAGGCCUAACACAUGCAAGCCGAGCGGUAGAGUUCCUUCGGGAACUUGAGAGCGGCGUACGGGUGCGUAACACGUGUGCAACCUACCUCUAUCUGGGGGAUAGCCUUUCGAAAGGAAGAUUAAUACCCCAUAAUAUAUUGAAUGGCAUCAUUUAAUAUUGAAAACUCUGGUGGAUAGAGAUGGGCACGCGCAAGAUUAGAUAGUUGGUGAGGUAACGGCUCACCAAGUCUGUGAUCUUUAGGGGUCCUGAGAGGGAGAUCCCCCACACUGGUACUGAGACACGGACCAGACUCCUACGGGAGGCAGCAGUGAGGAAUAUUGGACAAUGGGUGAGAGCCUGAUCCAGCCAUCCCGCGUGAAGGAUGACGGUCCUAUGGAUUGUAAACUUCUUUUGUACAGGAAUAAACCUAUUUACGUGUAAAUAGCUGAAGGUACUGUACGAAUAAGCACCGGCUAACUCCGUGCCAGCAGCCGCGGUAA
rnacentral:rRNA from 1 species